AAACAACUCCAAAUUGGCAUCUAUGGGACAAGGAAACAGAUUUCAUCCAUUACCGUAACUGUGCAGUAUGCAUUUUGCAUGUCAUUACCUGACUCCUCUGUAUCAGGCAUCAAAAACCAUUAGAACAGAGUGGGAUGAUAACUAUACUCUCCACCUCUAUCUUUCCUAUAAAGCAAUUUGUAGCAACGGUGUUUCAGGCAGGCCUCUGACAGCAGCCUGGAAUAUUGAAAAGAUUGUGUCACUCUUAAGAGAGCCAAGUAUUGUGCAUGUGUUUGUGUGUCCUUGUGUGCACUUGUAGAGCCUGAAUACAGAUGGUCUAUUAUGGAUAUAGAGAGCUGAAUGGCGGCACUUGCUGUUCCUGCAGCUCUACUGCCAACAGAAGAGCAUUUACUGCUACGCUGGGCGGACUGUGGCUGCAUGCGAACAAAAGAUCCUUUUCCCGAGCUGUUUUUAAAGUAUCUAGGAUACCGUUAGUUUAGCAAAGCCAAGCAAGGACACAAAUUGAUUGAUCACUUUAUCCAGAGCACCUCUGCUAUAAGUCCUUGCAGAGUGAGUAAUUGGCCAGCAGGCAAUUUGAAUGCAAACAGUGGCAGUUGUUAUUGAGUCUGCUCACUAGCGUAGCAAUUAUUCAGCAGCAUUAACUUAACAUACUGCCAUUGUCCGCUUCAAACGGCUUCAAUCACCUGCUCUUAUUAGUGUUGAGCCCUGUUUGUCGCUCUUUAGUGAGACCAGGAAAGAGCAGUAAGAGGGGAAGUAAAUGAACUAUCUCAUAUACUAAAAUUAGCAUGUGAAUUAGUCCAAGUCAGGUUUGGAAACUCGCAAUGCCUACAGGGGGAAUGCCCUUCAAAGUUCACGAAAUGCCACUGAGCUCAUAAAGUCUCACUUAAAUUAGAUCAACAGGGCAAAAAACUAUGUGGAAAAUUUUUUAAACAGCAUUUACCACCCAAACAGGGAGAGCAGAGACUAUUAAAACAUUAACACACUUCAAUCUGUCCAUUACAAGGAACAUCUCAUUGCCUGUGCCACUAUUUAGUUUGUAGUUUGUACCAGUAGGGUUAUGCUAAAGUGCAGGACUCAGGUCUUUUUUAGAUUAGAAUGGCGCCAUUAAAAGCAGAUUAGUCUAUUCUCUGCAAUUUUUUAAAAAAUCACAGUGCAGUCAUCAGACAAUAUUUCACAUGAGCUCACCUAGAUUCUAUCGACUACUAGGGGGCUAGCAAGAAAAAUUGUAGGUGUACAGAUACAGUAAAAAGCUCACGCCAGUAACUUUAAAGAAAUUUUCAGGAAUUUUUUGCAUGUCCAAAAGUGGCUUAGGUAACAAACUUAGCAACGAAGACACACCUUAGCAGUCCACCAUUCUUAUCGUUGCCAAACAGCCAAAAAUUAACAAUAGUUCAUUAUUAGUUCAUUAUCCUUAUUCAGUCAGUGCGUUUACAUACACUGCUUCAUUGGACUAAGCUCAUGAUUCUUUUUUUUUUUUACUGAAUCAGACUUCUCUCCUUGUCCGUGUAUACAUGCAGCUGAGAAAAUCUAAUUAUUGACAUGAACAUAUCCUCCUCCUCAAAACUAGGGGGCGAUAUGGGUCUUUUCAGCUGCGCUGUUUCUGGUUGACUCCAUACAACUGUCAACAACAACACUGUGCCAGAUGUCAGAAGUGGCUACAACUGCUGGUGGGCAUUUUCGAGGAAGAAGUUGAAGCGUUGUUUUUGUCGCACAUAAUGUACGCACAACUUUUUCCGCAGAUGAGAUGCAGGCUACUCCUCUUCUCUGGUGUUUUUGUUCGAGGGUUACGGGGGCGUGAUGCAUGCGCACAUGCAUUGUCCGAUCAUACUCUGACUAUGUUGGUUGCAUGGUAGAGAAAAUCUAAUUCCGAUCGCACUAUCUGGGUGUCUUAAUCAGAGUUCUCAAACUCUGAUUUUAGUCAGACUGUGGUGUUUACAUGCACGUCAGUUGUCCGGUCUUAAUCGGAGUAAAGCAAUUAUCCCGUUUCCUUGAGUGUAAUGUAAACAUACUGAGUUACAGCUCCUGUCAUAAUGUUUAAACAGAUUCCACUGAUCUUGAGUUUUGCUCUCAAAGAUUUUUUAGUGUUGUAUUUGUAAAACAUCUCUUCAGGAGGAGACAGUAUUAAACCCAAACUUGAAAGGAUAUUUGUCCUGGAUGCAUGCAGAAAUCUAAGUGAACUGCUGCAGUAUCUUGGGUUGAUAUUGUUGGCAGGCUCCCAGGUAGAGGUAACAGUCCAUGUUGUCUGGUUUGUUAAUAUUUUGUGGGCUGCAGUUAUUUUUGAGAUUUAGUUUGACCUGCAGGACUUGCCUCUGACACUGUCAAAUUUUUAACUAGCUUCACCUCUGGAUUGGUGUGCUUCCCUUCUUUCUGUCAGCAUAUUAAUCAAAACACUUCCUGCAUUUUGGUUUCUCCCUUUGACUCACAUCCUUGGCAUUUAUCCAUAUGAGCACAUUGAGAAUGGAUGUGUUUGAGUUUUGGAUUUAAGGGUUUCCGUUCCUUUUUAAUUGCAACAGGAUCUGCUGCCAGAGAUGAGCAACUGGGGAGGAAACUGCUCCGCUGCUUGCAGAUUUUUUCUCUCGAUUCAGCAUCCUAACAGCAUCCUGCCACUGGAGGACAUGACAGGGUGAAUGAAGGAUAGAGGGGCUGAAUGGUGGUAGAAAAAAAAAACUAUGUAAUGAUUUACAGCACAGCUACAAGUCAAUAGCACUUAAAAAUCCAAUCUGGCUUGACUUUGAGACUGUGAAAUGAUGUUAGAUCAGUUGUUAUAUGGUGAAAUGUCCAAUUGAUAUUUGGUGUGUUUGGAGUUGCUGGAUUAUAUGAAGUGGUGAUUUGAAAAAACUGAACUUAAUAGUAGUUAUAAUUAUGAUAUAAUUAUUAUUUAACUGCUUAAAAGAGAAGCAAAUAAAAUUAUAUAUAUAUUUUAAUAACAUGCCAAAGGACCAAGCUAGUUAAACAAAUCCUUGAACCAGAUUAAAAAUAAUCUUAACUAAACUGUUUUAACACCACUUUGUGAUUAAAAAGUUGCACUAUAAUGUAACUUGAAGCUGAAUAGUUCAAUUACAUACUCACUGGUUAAAAGGAGAGUCUUAUCGACUAUCUGGUGAUUGUCUAAUGCUCUGCAGUGUGGGUUUGGAUUCACUUUAAGUCAUUAUGAAAGCUAAACUGAAGCGUAUCUAAAGUGUGUUUUCACUGUUUAGAGCUGAAAGGAAGGGUCCAGUUAUUUAAAGUGUGGGAUUGGCUUCUCAGGGUCCCAAUGGAGAAGGGGGCCCGAGUAUUUUUGUAAAAAGAAGAAGAAAUUUAAAAACUUUUAAGGUCAAUUUUAAGGUCAAGGCAAGUGUCGCUGAAUCUUAUUAACGCUGGUUGGAUGUUUCAUUCAAGAGUCUAAACAAUGGCAAUCAAUAUUUAGGUUGUAAAAGAUGCCCUUGGGAACACUUCUUGUUGAGGAUAAUGGUCUCGCUUGUUCCCACUGCAUCCCUAAGAGUCUAUGUGACAUGAAAACAUAUUGACGUCACAAAUUGACUGAUUUUAAAUCUGUAAUGAGGUUAAAAACAUUAUAUAUAUUGGAACGUGUGGGGCUGUAAUACCGCUACAUGCCAUAAGAGACAAGGAAAAGUUACUUUUGUACCAAAGAAAUUAGUAUAAAGCAGCCUGUUUAAUCUAUUAAACUUUCUCCACUUUUUAUCCCUGUAUUCUGUAAGUUGGUAUAAAAAAUUGGGUGUUUGUAACAACAAAAAAGUUACUGGGGAAAUAUGAAUCUCCAGUUUUCAGCGAGUAAGUCAAACUUAUAUUAUCUGAAAGAUUUAAUGAGCAUAAUGGAGAUUCUACAAUAGCGAUCAUGUGGGGUUAAUUGUGCUUUGGUUGAAGGGCCUGAGUCGUAUAUUUUCAAGAGAUAUUCUGAAUUCCUGGCGACAGUUUUGGCGCUUUAGGAAACCAAAUAAUAAUAGAGACCAACUGGCAUAGAUUUAUCUGGGAGGAUUUUGUAAUUGGAAGUGUUCUAGUUUGCUUAUGUAGUCCAAACAGCAUCAUCAACAAAGGCAAACAGGCCCGGUUGUAAACAAAGGCAAUGCACUUGAAAUAAAGGCCCGGCGAGAGGAGUCGGAUAGUUUGUCAUCUCCCAGGGAGCUAGUGUGGAAAUCAAAUAUGGGUUCAGAGAUUUAGCAUGUGUAAAACUAAAAUAAAAGUGGUCCGAAGAUGGACCCUUGAGGCACUCCAAAUGACAAUAGACAACACUCCAUUGGAGACAAUACUUUUAAAAGCAGCUGGACAAAAGCGAAACAUCAUACUAGUUCUUUCUGAUCCAACAAAGUCUUAGUAAAAUGAAAUCCCUGAACAUGUUUUUUCUUGAAUACGUUGGCAGAUUCAGAAGAGAAUCAGUUUUUCCCGCCCACAGCGACAACUGAUUUAUGUGAGUUUAAGAGGAGGUCACUUGUGGGAGACACUGGGUUUACUUGGGACUUUGUUAGCAUCAAGAAUUGUUGGGUCUGUCUCCCAGUUGCUCAGAAGUCAUCAAUCCACCAGAGCUGUGUCUCGGACCACAUAGUUAAUCUCUCCACUAUCCUGCUCUGUCAGGAUAAGUAACAAUACUAAGUCUUCAUUUGCCUCCUCUUGCCGCAUGCCUCUCUCAUAAAUAAACUAAUUAACUUGGGCAGCGCCGGGUGUUGGGAGGAGGAGUAAGCUGUCCUACACACAUAUCAAUAUUCACAAGGGUGUAUACACCUGGACAUGCACGUAAACCUAGAGAUAUAUAUCCUAAACACAUUUUUACUCACGUCUUCCUCCACACUCACUCCUGCUUUCCUCCCCAACUGUCACGCUGAGCAGAAGUCCACAUGAAUACAAAUCAGUCUGCGCCUGUCUGUCCGGGUUUAAGGGAUUGCAACUCAGUAAAUAAUCUGAGACAAUGUGUGAGCAAAUGGAGGAAGAGAUAUCGCAAAGGACCAACAGAUAAAGGGAUAAACAGUUGGGCAGCUUUCUCAAGUUACAAUUAGUCAUAUCUGGGAAGUAGAUGCAUAGGAAAUCCUUCUUCAACCACGGGGACAAGGCUUUCUUUUUUUUUUUUUUUAGGGAUAAAGAUUCUGAAAACAAACAUUACUGGUUCUUACGGUUUGUUCCUCAAAUGAAUCUCUAAAUUGCCAAUUUUUCAAGCAGUGCGCAGAUAGUCUGGAGUUUUUUUUAGCUGAUUAAGAAAUUAUAAUUAAAAUGGUUGAAAAAAAAAAACGUGAUUGGGGGUUUAAAAGUGGAGAACUUUAUGAAGGGACUAGCUCUGUGCGGUUUGGUAUUCACACUUUUGUGAGGGACUCUCACUUUGUUUGGACUCUGAUGUCCUCUGUAGAGAGAGCUGUACCUAUCCGUUUGUAUUGUGCAUGUGAAGGUUUAAUCAUACUGUCAUUAAACAGCCAAAGCAUAAAUCUUUGCAAGGUUAAUUGUUAUGAAAGUACUGUUUAUCACUGACACUUACCUUGCAGACGCAGAUACAGGCAUGUAAAAUGAUAUACAAAGUGAUUUUCUUAAUGAUGGCCUUGGUCAUUUUUGUAGCUAAUAAAGAGGCAUCAGUAUUAGUCUCCCAUGUCAGAUUUUUCCUCCCUAUUAUGUCAAAAAUAUUUGAACAAAUAAAUCAGUAGUUUGUUUAAGAAAUAAACCAUGAUCGAUAUUGGUCUGCUUAACUCGAGGCAAGUGCUGCAGCCAAAGUGGGCAGUGCAUAUCAACAGGGGUCACCACAGUGAGACCUAUUGACCUCUUAAGAGUUACAGGGCACCGAAAUCGAAGUCGAUCAUUGAUAAAUGAAAUAUUUAUGUAAUUUUCACUCAAUAGAAGGUUAGAGAUCGACACAGAAAAGGCAAAUGUCAGUCUACAGAGAGAUGAGCAACAGCCAAAUGGAUUUUUGACACUUUUUAGUCAUAAUAACAAUAAAAGAAUCAGUGAGUGAUUUUCUUUUUGAGGAUGGACCAAACAAAGCUUGCAUGUUUUCACAGGUCUGCAUCAUGCUGUUGCUGUUUUAACAAAGAAGAUAAUCGCAAGAAAAUUUGUUUCUUUUUUGGUUCAUAGUGUAGACUGUAUGAUUACAGGACAAAGCACCAAUGAUGUCACCCAUCUGUUUCUGAAGCAGAGCUUAGAAGCGGACGCCAUAUUGGUAAUGCCAUCUCAACCAACCAGAGGCGGGUCUUCAGUGAUUACAGUGUGCCUGCCAGCCAGUCACAUCAGUCAUGCCUCUCAUUGGUCGUCCUCGUAUCCUGAAUAACUUUGAAACAAAUGUGUGACAAUAAUUUUCCCUUCCUGUACCCUGGGUGCUGUGGGAGCCCCAAGCUAAUCAGACCAA